UGAUUGUUCCCCUGCCACAUUUGAUUGUUUACAUACUUAGCAAAGGAAGCUUGCACUUCAGCAGCUUCCCUUUAGCACUGCCAUUGGUUAGAUAUAAUUAAUAUGUAUAGGUUUCUUUCUCGGCUCUGAAUCAUCUUGAAUCUGUUUGAUUAAUGUAGAUCUGCACUGUUUUUAAUCCUCAAGUGAUGAUGUGUUUCUUACUCGGCACUGAAUCAUCUUGAAUCUGAUCCGCACUGUUUUUAAUCCUUGUGGUCAUGGGUGUACUGAACUUCGUCUCAAGGAUCAGAAUCUUGGAAGUUAUGGUGGUGGGUUUGUUUCUGGAAGUGCAAGCUACGGUAGUGGAGAUGUGCUCAUGUUUCAUGGCCCAGCGCAUAGGUGAAUCAGCGCAUAGAAGAAAGUUGAAAAACAUAACAAGAAAGGAAGAAGGAGAAGAGGAGGAGGAGGAAGGAGAAGAAAGAAAAAGGAGAACAAGAAAAGAAGAGAGGGUACUAAUUGUCUUGAUGUGUGACCAGGUGUCGAAUCUGGCAUCGAUGCUAAGUAAUUUCCAGCAUAUCACCAACAGAAGAGUUGAUAAUGAGCAGCAUUUCUUGUGAUCUUAACUAGCAUAGUAGAAGUAGACACUACAUAACUACCCAAUAAUAAUCACGACACCUAUUAUCGCAUUCAUCUUUCUUCUCUUCUCUACAAAAGUAAAAAAACAAAAAAAAACAGCAGCAGCAGUAGAACAAUAACAAGAAUGAAGGUGUCAAACUAAAAUGAGUGCAUCCUCACCACAUCAUCAUGCUAAUUAAGUAGUAAUCUCAUCGGUGUUCAUUCAUGCUACACUUAGAGAGUCAUGCCAUGAUUACAUUUUGCAAAUUCAUGAUUGCCUGAUAUAAUGUUGCUAUAAUGUUGUAUGAUAAUGUUGUAAGGGUACUAAUUGGUCUCUUCUGCUACUUAUCACAGAUGGGGGGAAGCAGCCACCGCCGCUCUGCCACACCGCAGUACGAGUUGGAUGCUUCCGAGUUCUUCAGUAUCAUACUUGGGACUUCAGUAUCAUCCAUGAUGCAGGUAUAUAAAAGGAGAGAUCUCCCCUUCACCCAUCUCAUUAUGAUAUCUGUUGUUUUCUACAUCACUCAUUGUCCCAAACUGCAGAGGCUUCCUGACUGUUUUAUGAACAUGCUGGGUGAAGAUCCGCCAAAUAAUGUGAAACUGCGACAGGCCGGCAGCGGGUUUUGCAGGCUGUGGGAUGUGGAGUUGGUGAUCAAGGAGGGCCACAUGUACUUGUAUCGUGGGUGGGAGAAGUUCUACCAUGCCUACGACCUGCGGCUGGGGUACUUCCUUCUCUUCAGGUAUGACGACGACGCCACCAUGCUCAUCGUGAAGGUGUUCAACGCGACUAUGUGUCGCAUGCGCUAUGCUGACGAUGAUGAUGCCAGUACGUUCUGCCUCUUCUUAUUCCUCUACAUUUGGCUUUGUCUCACAUCGAUUGUUAACGGGCAUUGUUGCAUUUGGACAGGCAAUGGGAGUAGCAGCAGUGACACUGGCUACAGCCAAAGCAGCAGCGACUAUGGCUGUAGCAAAAGCAACAGGGAUUCUGGCGUUAGCGAAAGCAGCAGCGAUUCUGGCAGUAGCAAAGACAAUAAGAAGGAUGAUCCGGACUGGAGUGCGGGAGAAGAGGAGCAGACUGGGGAUGAGGAGCUAUAGGAUGACGAUGGGCAUUAGGCUGAGGAUGACCUAGCGCUGGUGGUGGCUGACCAAGGGCAAGAGAUGGUGGUGGCUGACCAUGGGCAAGAGAUGGUGGUGGCUGACCAUGGGCAAGAGAUGGAGGUGGCUGAGGAUGACCUAGCGAUGGUCGUGCCCGUACUGCCUGGAGGUGGCCUCGCGAUGGUGGUGGUGCCUGACAAUGACCACGCACCGGUGGUGGCACCGGCGAUCCCACAGCUAGGCGACAUGACCACACCAAUUGUGGUAGAAGACUACAUCCCACAGCUGCCUCCACCGCCUCGCCGCUCUUGGCGCAUCAGGCUGAGGAAGGAGAAGGAGAAGAACAAUGAGAACUGAACUAUGUCAGGUAUGUCAGAUCUCCAAAAUGAUAUAUAUAUAUACUUAGUUACCUAUGUUAUCUCUAAUAUGCUUAGUUUCCUAUAGGUUAGCUUCAUUUUACCUAAGUUGGCUCUAAUAUGCUAAAUUAGAGCUUAUAUCCUUAGUUUCCUAUAGGUUAGCUCCAAAAUAACUUAUGUUAGCACAAAAUGAUCAAGUUUACAUAAUAAGCUUAUAGUCUUCUUCUUAUUCUUCUUAUUCUUCUUCUUUUCCAAAAUGACAUAGUUUAGCUUCAUUUUACCUAAGUUGGCUCUAAUAUGCUAACUUAGAGAGCUUAUAUGCUUAGUUUCCUAUAGGUUAGCUCUAAAAUUACUUAUGUUAGCACAAAAUGAUCAAGUUUACAUAAUAAGCUUAUAGUCUUCUUCUUAUUCUUCUUAUUCUUCUUCUUAUUCUUCUUCUAGUAUUCUUCCAGUGUUCUUCUUCUUCUAGUAUUCUUCUAGUCUUCUUCUUCUUCUCUUCUUCUUCUUCUUCUUCUAACUUCUUGUUUAUCAUUUUGCAGAUUUUAUUUGAUUCACAGAAGCUUGCAUGGAUGGAGUGCUUCUUUUCCAUUUAUUUUAUUUUGUAUCAAUGUGAAACUUUUGUGAAUUGAUGGAUAACGGUGUUGGAUGAACAAUGUGAAACUUUUGUAAUAUGUAACGAUGGAACUAUGUGUUGGCUAUGUAUGUAUAUAUGAUGAAACUUGUGUGUUGGAUAUGAUUGUUAUAUGGAUGCUUGUUGUAUAUAUAUGUGUUGGAUAUCUCAUAUGUGAAAUAGUGACCUGAGAUUAAGAAAAAACGAUUUUUUUUAAAAAUGUUACUAAUGGCGCACUACCAUGUGAUGCGCCAUUAGUAUAGCAGAUACUAGUGGCGCACUAUGGGCAAUACUAAUGGCGCACUACGUGGUGCGCCAUUAGAACACCAGAUACUAAUGGCGCACCAGUGGUGCGCUAUUAGAAUUUAAUUCUAAUGGUGUGAUGCUAGUGGCGCACCAGUAGUGCGCCAUUAGAAGGCAAAACUGGUGAGCCAUUAGCAUGCCUUUUCCUAGUAGUGUAUUUCUUUGCAUGAUCAUGUAGUUGACAUCGUAUUUGUGGCAAAGCCACCUUACAUAAUUAUUUCAUACAUGUCACUCUUGACUCAUUGCACAUCCCUAUACACCGCCAGAGGCAUUCAUAUAGAGUCAUAUUUUGUUCUAAGUAUCGAGUUGUAAUUCUUGAGUUGUAAGUAAAUAAAAGUGUGAUGAUCUUCAUUAUUAGAGCAUUGUCCCAUGUGAGGAAAGGAUGAUAGAGACUAUGAUUCCCCCACAAGUCGGGAUGAGACUCCGAACGAAAAAAAUUUAAAAAAGAGAGAGAAAAACAAGGCCAAAAAAGAGAGAAAGAGGGAGAAGGGGCAAUGUUACUAUCCUUUUUCCACACUUGUGCUUCAAAGUAGCACCAUGAUAUUCAUGAUACAGAGUCUCCUAUGUUGUCACUUUUAUAUGGUAGUGGGAAUUUUUCAUUAUAAAACUUGGCUUGUAUAUUCCAAUGAUGGGCUUCCUCAAAUUGCCCUAGGUCUUCGUGAGCAAGCGAGUUGGAUGCACACCCACUUAGUUUCUUUUUGAGCUUUCAUAAACUUAUAGCUCACUGGUGGAAAAAAGGCCUUUGGUCGCGGUUCGCAACUGCCAUUAGUCGCGGUUGCGCAACCGCGACCAAAUAAGCGCGACUAAAGCCCCCCACCUUUAGUCGCGGCUGCUUAAGAACCGCGACUAACGGCCCGUCCACGUGGGCGCCAGGCGGCCAUCGGGGCGGAGGACCUUUAGUCGCGGUUCUUCUGGCCAACCGCGAGUAAAGGCCGCCACAGGUUUAGGGUUUUAGCCCCCCCCCCCUAAACCUGUUUUCUGUUUAAUUUGUAUUGUUUUAUUUCUUUUGUGCUUUAUUUUNNNNNNNNNNNNNNNNNNNNNNNNNNNNNNNNNNNNNNNNNNNNNNNNNNNNNNNNNNNNNNNNNNNNNNNNNNNNNNNNNNNNNNNNNNNNNNNNNNNNNNNNNNNNNNNNNNNNNNNNNNNNNNNNNNNNNNNNNNNNNNNNNNNNNNNNNNNNNNNNNNNNNNNNNNNNNNNNNNNNNNNNNNNNNNNNNNNNNNNNNNNNNNNNNNNNNNNNNNNNNNNNNNNNNNNNNNNNNNNNNNNNNNNNNNNNNNNNNNNNNNNNNNNNNNNNNNNNNNNNNNNNNNNNNNNNNNNNNNNNNNNNNNNNNNNNNNNNNNNNNNNNNNNNNNNNNNNNNNNNNNNNNNNNNNNNNNNNNNNNNNNNNNNNNNNNNNNNNNNNNNNNNNNNNNNNNNNNNNNNNNNNNNNNNNNNNNNNNNNNNNNNNNNNNNNNNNNNNNNNNNNNNNNNNNNNNNNNNNNNNNNNNNNNNNNNNNNNNNNNNNNNNNNNNNNNNNNNNNNNNNNNNNNNNNNNNNNNNNNNNNNNNNNNNNNNNNNNNNNNNNNNNNNNNNNNNNNNNNNNNNNNNNNNNNNNNNNNNNNNNNNNNNNNNNNNNNNNNNNNNNNNNNNNNNNNNNNNNNNNNNNNNNNNNNNNNNNNNNNNNNNNNNNNNNNNNNNNNNNNNNNNNNNNNNNNNNNNNNNNNNNNNNNNNNAUGUUAAAAAUACAAAUAAUAUAUCAAAAAAUUCAAAAAAAAUAAAACUAAUUCAAUUCAAAAUUCUAAAAAUACAAAUAAUAUAUCAAAAAAUUCAGAAAAAUAAAACUAAUUCAAUUCAAAUGGCUAAGUGUUGGCUGCUGGAUGGGUAUAUAUAGGGGAGGGGCUUUAGUUGCGGUUGGCCUGGCAAACCGUGACUAAAGGUGCCCGAAGGCCUUUAGUCGCGGUUGUCCUGGCCAACCGCGACUAAAGACCCUCACGUGCGCCAGCUGGCCACCGAGCGCCCUGGGCCCAGGCCUUUGGUCGCGGUUCACCUCCAGAACCGCGACUAAAGGUCCCAUUAGUCGCGGUUCCUACAGCUUCGCGACUUAUGGGGCUGGACGGAAGCCUGUUUUUUCACCAGUGGCUCUAGUGCAUCUGUUGUAUGGCAAUUCCUACUCACUCACAUUGAUAUCUAUUGAUGGGCAUCUCCAUAGCCCAUUGAUACGCCUAGUUGAUGUGAGACUAUCUCCUUCUUUUUUUCUUCUCCACAAUCACCAUAUUCUAUUCCACCUAUAGUGCUAUGUCCAUGGCUCACGCUCAUGUAUUGCGUGUAAGUUGAAAAGGUUUGAGAACAUCAAAAGUAUGAAAUAGGUGCUUAGCUUGUCAUUGGGGUUGUGCAUGAUUUGUAUAUUUUGUGUGAUGAAGAUGGAGCAUAGCCAGAGUAUAUGAUUUUGUAGGGAUAAAGUUUCUUUGGCCAUGUUAUUUUGAGAAGACAUAAUUGCCUUGUUACUAUGCUUGAACUAUUAUAGUUUUUAUGUUAAUAUUAAACAUUUAUUUUGAAUCUUAUGGAUCUGAAUAUUCAUGCCACAAUAAAAAAUUACAUGGACAAAUAUGUUAUGUAGCAUUCCACAUCAAAAAUUCUGUUUUAUCAUUUACCUACUCGCGGACGAGGAUGAAUUAAGCUUGGGGAUGCUUGAUAGUCUCCAACGUAUCUGUAAUUUUUGAUUGUUCCAUGCUAUUAUAUUAUUUGUCAGAGGGAUUGACCAAGGGUAGCCUCAUCAGCACCCUAUAGUGUAUCAAGACAUCAGGGCCAGCUACGCCCCUCACACCUUCCAGACGAAAGGCCGACCCUUUGGGCCGUCUGGUCCAACGGGCCUACUGCUAGAAGACGGAGUGUUCCCAACAGGCGACCCCAGGGAGAUGGCAUCUAGCAAGUGGCCCUAGGGAGCCGGCAUCUAACAGGUGGCCCUACGCCUCCUCAAAGUUUGCACCCACUUACUAUGACAAGAUGGGGCGUGGCUACAGUGUGGCCUGCCACCCCCAAUCCAGGGUGGAACAUGGCCAUAGUGCAGGUGUACCAAGCGGACACCCCUCAUCCGGUGCGACACUGUAGCCAUGCACCCAUGACAUCACCUAUGUCAGAGGGAGCCAUGCUCUCAUGAUGGGCAAUCGGUACGGCCCACAGACGGCGGGCCCUACCUGUCCAUGAACCACCAGAAGACGGAAAACCCUGAGCAGGUGGCCUUGGGGGUGGGGCGACUCCUAGCAGGCGGCCAUCCCUCCCCUUGGAGUCUGUGCACCAGUAACCUGAUGAGACGGGGAGUGGCUACAGUGUGCGCCCGCCAGACGGUGGGACUGUAGCCAUGCGCCCCCGACAAAGCCUCCGUCAUCAAGGGCGAGGCUACAAUACAACGCAGUCAACCUGGCCCGCAGGCGGCAGGCCCUACCUGUCGGCUGAGUUCACGGCAGCCGGCGGGACCCACCAUGCGGCGGGCCCCAGCAGCCAGUGGAGAAGCCGGAGCCCAGAGACACUGAUAGCCGGGUCCUACACCCGGCCGGAUUACCAUUGUACCCUUGGGGGUAGGCCUAUAUAAACACCCCAGGCUCACCCAUGUAGAGGGUUCAGAAUCCUAGCGAGCUUACACAUACGUAGAGAGAAAGGAGAUAGAGCUAGCCUUGCUCUUCUUCCUCCUCUAGCCGAAACAGCUCAAGGAGCACUUUUGUAGCUACUCUAUUAACGAUAGUCAUCAUGCGGAGACCCCGCAGAGCAGGACUAGGGGUGUUAUCUCCAUGGAGAGCCCCGAACCUGGGUAAGACUCGUUGGUGUUCAAGGUCUCGCUCACUCCUGCUUCUAGAGCCCGGCGAUGUACUCCUGUCCCCAUCCAUGAUAAGCCACCCCUUGGCAUAAGUCGCUAGAUAUCCCCGACAUUUGGCGCACACAAUGGGGCCUUGUGCACCGUUGGCCGGAAACACGUUCUGGAUGGGAACCCUCUUCCUUCCCAGCGAGCGCAACCAUCCUAGCAUGCCUGAUGGCAUUUUCAUCGAUGUGUUGCGCGGCGUGGAAGCCGCUUGUGCUGCAAGCUCCCACGCUGAUCUCAUCAGCGGGAUCCGCCUCUCCGACGAGUCCAGGCCCAACGCAGGAGCGGCCAGCUCCGAGAGCUUCCUCAUCGACCUCUUCGGCAAGCUUCACGUUACAACGAGCCUGCCUCUGACCUAGAGUCCGUCGACUCCACUGACCCGCCUAUCGAGAUGCUCAUUGACUCCGACGUGGAGAACACAGAUGCCUUCCCUAGCAACAUGGUGAUCAUUGAUGACCCGCUCCCUCCCGCGGUCAGCAACGCUAGCACCAGCAUCAUCACGGAGGUGCUGGUCAUUAGCCACGAGGAGCCGCUGAUGGGGCGGGCCAGGACACGCUGCAGGCGGCAAUGCAAAGUCUGUCCGCUCCCAUAGAGGCAGGCGCCGAUGGCGCGAUGCUGGAAACGUUCCGCGUGUCGCUCCUCGACAGCGCCAAUAAGUUGGCGGCCAUGAGGUGCCUCACUGAAUCCUACCAGCGCAAGAUGGACCGCACCGUGUGCGGCACGCUUGCUGCUGGCGAGCCUAGCCGAGCGGGUGUGAUUCGACAGUGUGACUUGGACAUUGCUGGCAUGCUAGGAGCCGAUCGACCAGUCUACGCCACUCCGAUGGAGAAUUUGCGCGCCGCCCAGGCGGCGGCAGAGGAACUGGACCAUCUGGAGGGCGACGAGCAUCGCUGCAUGAUGGCGCGCCUCCAGCAGCUCCCCGACGCAGCCGCUGCGCAACAGGAAGCUGGCCGUCGUGUGGUGGAACCCGACAUGCAAGUUGAAAAUCAUCCCCCCCCCCUGCCGUGAGCACGGGGCGACCUCCCGGUGCCCAACAGGAGGCACCCACGGUGAGAAUGACCCAGAGCAGGCUGCUAGCCGCAGACGGCGCACCCACAUCAUGAUUGAGCGCGACCAAGACGGUUGCCCAUGAGAAAUGGAACGGCGGGAUGACCGCCCGCCUCCCUCGCGUAGGGAGAGGCGCGUCUCCCCGCCGCCUGUCGAGCAUCCAUCUCUCGGACGCCAGCUAGGCCACCAUGAAGGAGUCAGAGAGAACGAUGCCUGCCACUGGAUCGACCGACUUGCUCGGUCCCUGGUGGUAGAAGGAGAAGAAGAUGCAAUCGGCCUGCCUUGUUUCGGCCCCCGCAUUCGUGAUGAGCCCUUCCCCAAAGGGUUCUUGCUCCCACGAGAUACUCCCAAGUACAACGACUCUGUGAAGCCGGAGGACUGGCUGGUCGACUACUCCACAGCCGUCAGCAUAGCAAACAGUAACAAGCGUGUUGCUGUAAAGUACGUUCCUCUCAUGCUCCAGGGCACGACCCGGACAUGGCUGAACAGCCUCAAGCCGUACAACGUCAACAGCUGGCUGGACUUCACCGAUGUCUUCAUCCGUAAAUUCACCAGCACCUACAAGCAGCCGCCCAAGCCUCGCCAACUCUCCAUGUGCGUUCAAGGCCCGACUGAGUCCACCCGUGACUACCUGACACACUGGGCUGAGUUGUGCAACUCCUGCGAAGGGGUGCACGAGGUGCAGGCCAUAGAAUACUUCAUCUCCGGGUGUAGAGAGGGCACCCUGCUCAAGCACAAGCUCCUCUGCGAUUAGCCGGCCAUCUUAGACGACUGGUCAUAGCGGACAAGUACGCCACGGCCGACUCCUCCAUGAAGUCAGAACUCCGAGUGGAUGCGUCCGGGAAGGUGCCCCCCCCGACUUCUCGGACGCUGGCUGGAGAUUCUAGUCGGCGCCAGCAGCCAAACGACAACAAGCGCAAGGCCCAACAGCCGGCUUCCAAUAGUUGGCAGGUGGCAGUAGUUGAGGACCAGCAGCCGGAGGGGCAGCCCGGCCCCAAGUGUCAGAAGGGUAGCAAGCCUGCUUGGUUGCCUGCCUUCUACUUCGAGAAAACACUUGACGCUCCUUGCAUGUUCCACAGCGGUGGGAAGCUGAUACAUCUCCAAUGCAUCUAUAAUUUUUUUAUUGUUCCAUGUUGUUAUAUUAUCAUUUUUGGAUGUUUUAAAAUCAUUCUAUAGUCAUUUUAUAUCAUUUUUUGGUACUAACCUAUUGACAUAGUGCCCAGUGCAAGUUUUUGUUUUCUUCAUGUUUUUUACAUCGCAAGAAAUCAAUAUCAAACGGAGUCCAAAUGCAACGCAACUCCUGGAGGAUUUUUUUUGGGCCAAAAGAAAGCCAAUGGGCCAAGGAAGCACCUGAGGGGCUGCUUGAGGUGAGCAGCACCCACUAGGGCGCGCCAGGAGGCCCAGGCGCGCCCUAGGGGGUUGUGUCCACCUCGGGUGCCCCCCGAACCGCCUCUUUGCUCUAUAAAUAUCCAAAUAUUCCAGAAACCAUAGGGGAGUCGACGAAAUAUUGAUCCAGCCGCCGCAGAGUCCAAAACCACCAAGAUCCAAUAUAGACACCGUCAUGGAGGGGUUCACCACUUCCAUUGGUGCCUCUCCUAUGAUGCGUGAGUAGUUCUUAAUAGACCUACGGGUCCAUAGUUAGUAGCUAGAUGGCUUCCUCUCUCUCUCUUGGUUAUCAAUACAAUGGUCUCUUGGAGAUCCAUAUGAUGUAAGUCUUUUGGCGGUGUGUUUGUUGGGAUUCGAUGAACUUUGAGCUUAUGAUCAGAUCUAUGUUUUUAUCCAUGAAAGUUAUUUGAGUCUUCUUUGAUCUUUUAUAUGCAUGAUUUCUUAUAGCCUCGUAUUUCUUCUCCGAUAUUUGGGUUUUUUUUGGCCAACUUGAUCUAUUUAUCUUGCAAUGGGAAGAGGUGCUUUGUAGUGGGUUCGAUCUUACAGUGCUUGAUCCCAGUGACAGAAAGGGAACCGACACGUAUGUAUCGUUGCUACUAAGGAUAACAAGAUAAGAUCUAUAUCUGCCGCAAUAGAUAAAUGGAUCUCGUCUACAUCAUGUCAUCGUUCUUAUUGCAUUACUCCAUUUUCUCAUGAACUUAAUACACUAGAUGCAUGCUGGAUAGCGGUCGAUGUGUGGAGUAAUAGUAGUAGAUGCAGGCAGGAGUCGGUCUACUAAUCUUGGACGUGAUGCCUAUAUAAUGAUCAUUGCCUAGAUAUCGUCAUGAUUAUUCGAAGUUCUAUCAAUUGCCCAACAAUAAUUGUUUUCCCACCAUUUGCUAUUUUUCUCGAGAGAAGCCACUAGUGAAACCUACGGCCCCCGGGUCUCUUUUCAUCAUAUUUGCCUUUGCGAUCUAUUUUCCCUUGCAUUUAUUUUCAGAUCUAUUAAACCAAAAAUACAAAAAUACCUUGCUGCAAUUUAUUUGUUCCGCGAUCUAUUUAUCUUAUCUACCACUUUUUACCUCACGUUAUUUGCCUACUUGAGGCGUCGUACCCGAAAGGGAUUGACAACCCCUUUGACACGUCGGGUUGCGAGUAUUUGUUAUUUGUGUGCAGGUGCUAUUUACGUGGUGUGAGGAGGUUCUCCUACUGGUUCGAUAACCUUGGUCUCAUCACUAAGGGAAAUACCUACCAUCGCUAUACUGCAUCAUCCCUUCCUCUUUGGGGAAAUACCGACGUAGUUCUAUUAGACAUCAAAAGGAAUUUCUGGCGCUGUUGCUGGGGAGGAUCUUCAACAUCAACCAGGUUCCUAAUCACAAAUCGCAUCUCCUUGCAAUUUACAUUAUUUNNNNNNNNNNNNNNNNNNNNNNNNNNNNNNNNNNNNNNNNNNNNNNNNNNNNNNNNNNNNNNNNNNNNNNNNNNNNNNNNNNNNNNNNNNNNNNNNNNNNNNNNNNNNNNNNNNNNNNNNNNNNNNNNNNNNNNNNNNNNNNNNNNNNNNNNNNNNNNNNNNNNNNNNNNNNNNNNNNNNNNNNNNNNNNNNNNNNNNNNNNNNNNNNNNNNNNNNNNNNNNNNNNNNNNNNNNNNNNNNNNNNNNNNNNNNNNNNNNNNNNUUCGUUUGUCGUUUUCUUGUCAGAUCUAUUUCUCAUGUGCAAUCUUGCUUAUCACCUUUUGUCGUUAUGGAUUUUUCUUCUUCUAUUGCGUGCACUCCCGAGAACGAGGUUCUCAACUUUAAACAAAGGGGAGGAGAAAAUUUAAAAGAUGCUUGGUAUAGGAUUUGCAAUGCUCAUAAUAGAUCUAUCUGCAAUCAAUCUACGGCUGUUCUUAUUAGUUGCUUUUAUGUGGGCAUUACCACUUGGUAUAGAUUCGUCCUUGAUACGAUUACUGGUGGGAAUUGUUUGAUGUGUCUUACUCUUGAUACUUUUAAUGCUAUGGGAAAUUUAGUGGGUUCACCACCACUCGUGAUCAAUGAAACAAUAUUAACUCUCAAGCAUGUUAUGGAAAGAUUAGGUGCUAUUAAAAAAAUGCUUACUGCAGAACAUAUUGAAAAUUUGGAUACAAAAAUGCAAAGAUAUCCUACUAAAGUUGGGUCAAAAGUGGGAGACGUUUUCAAGUUUCUAAAAAAAAGGUACUAUAAUUCAUGAAAGAAUUGAAGAAAGUCCGUCUAGGAUUGAUAAACUAGAAGAAAUUUUUCUAAUCUAGGUACGACUUUUGCUUCUACUAAAACUCCCGUGAAAACUAGCAAGACUACUCAAGUCAUUAAAAACAAAGGAUCAACUUCUAGCAAUGAUAAUAGAUAUCUUAAGAUGAUUAGUAUCCAUCCCAACUUUAUUGAAGUCAUAAGAGACCCUUUUUGCGAAAAUAAGUUUUUCAUUAUCAUGCCUAGAAGUAUUGCCUCUGAGAAUUUAUAUGCAAAAUCCUUGAAAAAUCAUAAGUGCUCGAUCGAAGAAUUGGACAAGGAUGACAAAACUUAGAUCCUACGCGUUAUGCCUAGCUAGGGGCGUAAAACGAUAGCGCUUGUUGGGAGGCAAUCCCAAUGAAUAAAUUUUAUUUUUGCCUUUUGCUUUCUGUUCUUGAGUUUUAGCACAAUUAUGCUACUGUUAUGAUUGUGUUUUUGUGUUUUAAUUAGUGUUUGUGCCAAGCAAUGCCUUCGGGAAGACUUGUGUGAAACUUUCUUUGAUCUUGUUGAAAAACAGAAACUUUUGCACUCACGAUAUUCGUUGUCAUGUUUUAAAGAAAAGUGCUUUUAAGUUGAUUAUUUUUGAAGAGGAUUAAUAGGCAAAUUCCUCACGUCCAACAAUUUAUUUCAUAAAUUUUUGAGUUACAGAAGUAUUCGAAAUUUUCAGAUUGCUACAGACUGUUCUGUUUUUGACAGAUUCUGUUUUCUUUGCGUUGUGUGCUUGUUUUGAUGAUUCCGUGGUUUUCUUUGUUGAGUUUUUGCCAUAGAAAAGUUGGAAUACAGUAGAUAUAAUGCAAAAACAAAAUAAGAAUAGGUUUUCUACAGUACUUAUAGUAGUGGUUUGGUUUCUUAUACUAACGGAUCUCACGAAGGUUUUGUUUGAGUUUUGUGUGAUUGAAGUUUUCAAGUUUUGGAUUAUCUUAAGAUGGAUGAAGGAAUAAGGAUAAGCAAAAGUGAAAGAACAAGUGCUCCCUGGGUGAUUUUGGUAAUUCAUGACAACAUAUCUCUUGUUGGACUAAUACCUUUACCUAGUGCAUUUCAGAUAAGUUCAACAUUGGAGUGGCAUGGACAUGGACAAGAGGAUGUGGAACCCCUUUCAAGAUGCUAAGCACAAAUAUUGGCAAAAGCUCAAGACUCUACAUUUUCAUUUCAGUGAUCUAAGAUCACAUUGAGUCCAUAUGAAAGCCAAUACUAUUAAAAGGGGAUGAGGUGUUGCUUAAUGGCUUGCUUGCUCAAAGUGCUUAGUGAUAUGCUCCAAAACCCUCAACCACUUUCUCACAUCCACAUAUGUCCUAAACCUAAAUGUCAAACUCGGCCCCACCAAACUUGUCUAUCCGGCGCCACCGAGUUUCAUCUUAUUCAGCCACUGCCAAAUCCUAGUCACUUUGAUCUCACCGAUGGGAUCUCGGUCUCACCGAGAUGGGCUUGCAAUCUCUCUGUGAUCUGGUGCAACACUUUCGGUCUAACCGAGUUGGUGCAGUCGGUCCAUUAAGUUUGCCUGACCAAUACUCUGUUUACUUAUUACCAAAAUCGGUCUCACCGAGUUUGAGUAAUCGGUCAAACCGAGUUGAGGUUUUACCCUAACCCCUGCACAUCGGUCCCACCGAGAUGACUAUAUCGGUUCCACCAAAAAUCCUAAAGUUCACAUUUUGAACUAAAUUGGUCUGACCGAGUUUGUUGAUUCGGUCCCACCGAGCUUGGGAAUCUGUGUGUAACGGUUAGAUUUCGUGUGGAGGCUAUAUAUACCCCUCCACCCACUCUUCAUUCGUGGAGAGAGCCAUCAGAACAAACCUACACUUCCACUACUCAUUUUCUAAGAGAGAACCACCUACUCAUGUGUUGAGCCCAAGAUAUUCCAAUCCUACCAUAUGAAUCUUGAUCUCUAACCUUCCCACAAUUUCUUUCCACUCAAAUCAUCUUUCCACCAUAUCCAAAUCUGUGAGAGAGAGUUGAGUGUUGGGGAGACUAUCAUUUGAAACACAAGAGCAAGGAGUUCAUCAACAACACACCAUCUAUUACCUUUUGGAGAGUGGUGUCUCCUAGAUUGGUUAGGUGUCACUUGGGAGCCUCCAUCAAGAAUGUGGAUUUGAACCAAGGAGUUUGUAAGGGCAAGGAGAUCACCUACUUCAUGAAGAUCUACCCUAGUGAAGCAAGUCCUUCGUGGGCGAUGACCAUGAUGGGAUAGACAAGGUUGCUUCUUCCUGGACCCUUCGUGGGUGGAGCCCUCCGUGGACUCAUGCAACCGUUACCCUUCUUGGGUUGAAGUCUCCAUCAACGUGGAUGUAUGAUAGCACACCUAUCGGAACCACGCCAAAAACAUCUGUGUCUCCAAUUGCGUUUGCACACUCCAAUCCCAUCCCUUUACUUUCUUGCAAGUUGCAUGCUUUACUUUCCGCUACUCAUAUACUCUUUUGCAUGAUUGCUUGAAUUGUAUUGUGAAUGCUUGAAAUUUUGUUAAUCUACCACCUCAACUUGAAAAACUUAAAAAUUGCCAACUUUGUUUGUUGAGGGUCUAAUCACCCCCCUCUAGACACCUCUUCUCGAUCCUUUAAAUCGGUAUCAGAGCUUUGGUCUCCAUUGCUUUGGUUUAAUCACCGUUGGAGGAAGAUGGAUGAGUCUACGUUGGGAGUCUUAGAUGUAGAGUGCCUAUGCUUGAUGGAGAGUUCUUUAGUGAGUGGAAAAAUGAGAUGCUUGGAAUUUUUCAUGAAUAUCACUUGAACAAGUACAUUACUACUCAUUGUGAAUCCCUUUGUGAUCUCUUGCAUCCUACCCAUGAUGAGUCUCUUAACAUAAUUCGCAAUCUUAGAGCUAUCAAUCUUAUCACCGGAGGCUUGCCUAGAAAUUUGAUUGGUCACUUGCCUACUCUUGAUUGUGCUUAUACUAUAUGGAGAUUUCUUGAGGAAUGAUUUCCUGAAUAUUCCUUGAAAUACUUAGAUGAGAUUCUUCACAAUUCUAUUGCUUUGAAUAAGAUGAAUCCCAAUGAUCCUAAGUUUGGAGAUUGUUUAUUUGAGGUUACCAAUCUUAUGCAUGCCAAAGGAGAUGUUGGAAUCAUUAGCAAUAUUAUUUUUGAAGCUAUUAGAAUUCAUAGAGAUGAACAUUGUCAAAAUCAUAUAUCUAAUGAAUCACUCUCUCUAGGAAAUGAUCAUUUGCAAGAUGAUGUUGAACAUGGAUACUAUGAUGAAGAUGAGGAUAAUGACUUUGAUCUUGAAGAGUCUAUGAAACACUUUGGUCUUGUGGCUAAUCUUCGCAGCUACAUGGCUGGAGGAAAGGAAUGGGUCCUUGAUAGUGGAUGUACCGAUCACAUGACCGGAGAUAAAGAUAUGUUUCAUGAGCUUGCUGAAAACGACGGCCCUCGAAAGUAUGUCACUUUUGGUGACAACUCAAAGGGUAAGGUGGUUGGCCUCGGUAAGGUGGCCAUCUCACAUGACAGCUCCAUACAAAAUGUUACGCUCGUUGAAUCCCUUGUCUAUAAUUUGCUUUCUGUAUCUAGACUAGCUGACUUUGGUUUUAAUGUCCUAUUUACUAAAGUAGAUUGCCAAGUGUUUCGAAGAGAUAAUCAUAAAAUGGUCUUUACCGGCAUACGUAGAGGUGAUCUAUACAUUGUUGACUGCACUAAAAAGGCUCAACCUAGAACUUGCUUAAUUGCUAAAUCUUCCAAAGGCUAGUUGUGGCAUAGACGGUUAGGUCAUGUGGGCAUGCGAAACCUUGACAAGCUUAUUAAAGGUGAUCAUAUCCUUGGUGUUAAAGAUGUCAUAUUCGAUAAGGAUAGACUUUGCAGCGCUUGCCAAGCAGGAAAACAGGUUGGAGGAAGCCACCCCGUGAAUAACAUCAUGACCACGAGAAGACCGCUCGAGCUGCUUCACAUGGAUCUCUUUGGUCCCAACGCCUACAAGAGUCUCGGUGGUAACUCGUUUGGACUAGUCAUUGUUGAUGAUUUUUCAAGAUUUACGUGGGUGUUCUUUCUCGAUGAUAAAUCGCGGGUUCAAAAGAUCUUCAAAAACUUCGCUAGGAAGGCCCAAAACCAAUUUGAAGUGAAGAUCAAGAAGGUUCGCAGCGACAAUAGAACGGAUUUCAAGAACGCCAAUGUGGACACCUUUCUUGAUGAAGAAGGGAUUUCACAUGAGUUCUCGGCUACGUACACACCUCAACAAAAUGGAGUUGUUCAGAGGAAGAACCAGACGCUUAUCGAAAUGGCGAGAAUGAUGCUUGAUGAGUACAAGACGCCAAAACACUUUUGGGCAGAAGCGGUUGAGACAGCUUGUCAUGCAACGAAUCCUCUAUAUCUUCACAAGCUACUCGGCAAGAUGGCAUACGAGCUCCUCACUUGUAACAAACCCCAAGUUGGAUACUUUCGGGUAUUCGGCUCAAAGUGUUACAUUCUUGACAAGCAUCGUCGUUAGAAAUUUUCUCCUAAGUCUCAUGAAGGUUUCCUACUUGGUUAUGGCUCAAACUCUCACACUUACCGUGUCUACAACAAUUUCACCCGAAAGGUUGAAGAAACGGUAGAUGUGAAGUUUGAUAAAUCUAGCGACUCACAAGUAGAGCAAUUGCCAAUUGAUGUAGGUGACGAAGAUCCUUCGGAAGCAAUCCAAGACUUGUAUAUCGGCAAGAUUCGCCCAACGGAGGUGAAGGAGAGCACCGCGUCUGUCCAAGUGGAAGCCUCAACCUCACGCCAAGGUAAACCACGAGUUGACUUGGAGGCAUCAGCAAGUGGGACACGUCAAGACGAUGAGAACGAGGAUGUACAACAAGAUGAACCUCGACGACCUCCUUCUCCACCUCCAAGGGAGAACGAUCACGCUAACAACAACGAAGAAAGACAAGAAGAAGAAUAGGACAACAAAGAGGAUGUUCCACCCCGACCUAAACAAAAGCUAUCACGAGUUUGAGCAAGAGUCUGAAGAGAUCAUCCCGUCGAACAAAUCUUUAAUGACAUUCAAACCGGGAGAAUUACUCACUCUAAAACUUGUUUGGCUAACUUUUGUGAACAUUACUCAUGAAUUUCUAGCAUUGAACCUAUGAAGGUUGAAGAAGCAUUGGAAGAUCCGGAUUGGAUAAAUGCCAUGCACGAAGAGCUACUCAACUUUGAGAGGAACCAAGUACAGACGUUGGUUGAGAAGCUUGAUGAGAAGCACAAUGUCAUUGGAACCAAAUGGGUAUUUUGGAACAAGCAAGAUGAAGAUGGACAAGUUGUACGCAACAAGGCUCGUCUCGUUGCUCAAGGCUACACUCAAGUCAAAGGUAUGGACUAUGGUGAGACUUAUUCCCCCGUUGCUAGACUUGAGUCCAUCUGCAUCUUACUUGCCUAUGCCAAUCAUCAUGACACUACCUUAUAUCAAAUGGACAUCAAAAGUGCUUUUCUUAAUGGUGAAAUUGAUGAGGAAGUUUAUGUUAAACAACCUCCCGGCUUUGUAAAUCCUAAGAAACCAAAUCUUGUUUACAAACGUCACAAAGCUCUUUAUGGUCUUAAGCAAGCUCCUAGAGCUUGGUAUAAAUUUUUGACUAAGUUUCUUCUUGAUAAAGGGUUUGACAUUGGUAAAAUUGAUUCUACACUCUUCACCAAAAGGGUUAAUGGAGAAUUAUUAGUGUGCCAAAUUUAUGUUGAUGAUAUCAUAUUUGGAUCAACUAACCCUCAUUUUAGUGAGAAUUUUGGGAAGCUUAUGUCAGAGAAGUUUGAGAUGUCUAUGAUGAGAGAACUCAAAUUCAUUCCCGGUUUGCAAAUCAAGCAAACUAAGGAGGGAACCUUAACUACAAAAAAAAGACACAUCCGUGCCAUUUUGGGCUGAACGAAUUUUUUUUCUGUCAUACAUAUGACACUUCUAUGACGAUAAUUGUGACAAAACCCAGUAUCAUCAUAGAUGUGGUGGGCUCCUACUUCUAUGACAAAAAAUCAUGAUAGAAAAUGGGCUUUUCAUCCUGGGCGGUCCGGAGACGCAGCUGCAUGACAUUCUUUGGGCCGUCCAUGACGGAAAAAACCGUGGUAGAAGCGAGGGGGAGGAAAAUUUCGGGGAGUUGCCGGUUACGGUGGGAGGUGGGGGCGGAGUGAUGCACUUUUCUCUCGUACAGGUACACGCGUGUGUGCGAGGCAUUGGCUCUAACUGAACCCGAGUGAGGCGUUGGGCUCUAACUGAACCCGAGCAAUUGCACUGCAGGCUACGCGUUACUGAACCCGAGCGAUCGAUCGAUGGCUGUUAACUGAACCCGAUGGAGCGAUUCCUUCGCUACUGCUGCUAACUGAAGACGAUCGAUGCUGCCUCUGGGAUGAACAGUGAGUGUUGCGGGGGGGUGGAUGAACAGUGAGCGGUGGCUUUGCCUCUGGAUGAACAGGAACCCGUGGUGUGGAGGGCUGGAUGAACAGUAGACGGUGGAGGGGUGGUUGAACAGGACCCCGUGGUGUGGAGGGCUGGAUGAACAGUAGACGGUGGAGGGCUGGAUGAACAGUAGCUGGUGGAGGGGUGGUUGAAUAGUAGCCGGUGGAGUAGCGCGCGGUGGAGGCUGGAUGAACAAGAGCCCGUGAAGGCUGGAGGAGGUCGACGGUAGCCCGUGGAGGCUAGAGGAGGUCGACGGUGGAGAUGAACAGUAUCCCGUGGAGUCCCGUUUUGCGGUACGCCACACCCCUCCCGAUGAACGGGACCCUCUUUUCGACCGUAGGAGGUGCGUUUCGUCCGUUUUGCAGUACGCCACACCCCUCCCGAUCAACAGGACCCCCGUUUCGACCGUACGAGGUCCGUUUCGUCCGUUUUAUGGUACGCCAUACCCCUCCCGACCAACAGGACCCCCGUUUCGACCGUAGGAGGUCCGUUUCCUCGGUUUUGCGGUACGCCACACCCCUCCCGAUCAACAGGACCCAUGUUUCGACCGUAGGAGGUCCAUUUCCUUCGUUUUGCAGUACGCCACACCCGUCCCGAUCAAUAGGACCCCCGUUUCGACUAUAGGAGGUCCGUUUCCUCCGUUUUGCGGUACGCCAGGCCUCGUUUCCAUCGCCUGUUCCGUCCAAGCCCUCCCGAUGAACACGACCACGCAUUCUGUUCGGACCUAGCCGGUUGGCUCCCAUGCGUUCCGUUGCCUCCCGAUGAACACGACGCAUUCCGUUGCCUCCCCAUGAACACGACGCAUUCCGUUGCCUCCCCAUGAACACGACGACGACGCUGUUUCUCCGUUCCGACCCAGCCAUGUACGUAUGCGCGAGUAGGCAUUCGAGACCCUGUCCGUAUGUACGUACAUGGCCGUAAUUUCUUUCUUGCACCCUUGUCGUUGUAUGUACGUGUACAUGCUACGUGCGCGCCUCGACAUCGACACGUGCAUGCCUCUACUAGGACAUGUGCGUGCCUCUACAUCGACCAGUAUGUACGUACACUUUUGUGACCAGAAUGACAAUGCUACAUACGCUUCGACCAGGUGGGUCCCGACUGUCAGGCACUUCCUUGCCUGCGAAGAUGUAGCUGGUGGGUCCCAACAGUCAGGGGGGCGAAUCGUUUUGGUUUUUUUUUGCCCGGACGCACUUCCUUGCGUGCGAAGAUGUAGCUGGUGGGUCCUAGCAGUCAGGGGGGAAACAUUUUUUUCGCAAAAUACUGGUGGCCCGUCCGGUGGGUCCCUGCUGUCAGGUGGAGGAAUAAUUAUUUUGCGCAUAAUAAGGAGGCACUUCCUUACGGCCGUCGUGAACCCAGCUGUCAGCCUCUCCACGCAGAGUACUCUUCUGAUGGAAGUUAGUUAUUGACCACAUUGACCAUGCCGCGCCGAGAGCACAACGGCGGUGGACGACGGCGAGGCCUAGGAAGGGGACGACGCGGAGGCGGGGAAGACGCAACAGUGGAUGCCCACACGAAGAGGAGUACAAGGGUGAGGCUGCCGUCGCCGCAGAAUAACAGGGGGUGUGGGUGAGUAGAGGGAUGGCUUGGCCAGCGAUGGGAGUAGUAGGGGGCGGUGAGGCCUCCGCCGCAUCACAGCCGGCCACGGGAGGCAGGAGCACGAGGCACGACCGACGCUGGUUUGGGCGGCUGGAGCAAGAAGACCAGAGGUUGAAGAAGCACUACGGUCGUUGGAUGGACAUCAUACGGUCACCGGAGCUAGAAUCGUCCAUAUUAUUGACUAAGUUGACAAAGCCCUCCGUCCCCGUCAACUUAGUAAGCCCACAAGUCAGCAUGCCACUAUACUAGGUCCCAGCUAAUAGGCGGAGUAUUCAUUUUUUUUGUGCGUAAUAAGGAGGCACUUCCUUGCGUGCGAAGAUAUAGCUUGUGGGUCCGAGCUGUCAGCGGCGGUAACGGAUUUUUUUGGUGAAAUACAGAGGCCAUUUCGGUGGGUCCCUGAUGUCAGGUGGAGGAAUCAUUAUUUUGUGCGUAAUAAGGAGGCAAUUUCCUUGCGUGCGGCCGUGGACCCAGCUGUCGGCCUCUCCACAUACAAUCCACUUCAGAUGCAUGUCGGUCGUUGACCACGUUGACUAGGCCACACCGAGAGCACAAGGGCGGUGGACGACGGCGAGGCCUAGGAAAGGAACGACAUGGAGGCAGGGAAGACUCGACAGUUGUUUCCCACGCGGAGGGGAGUACGACUGUACGAGGGUUUACUGGUUCGUCUGGCGUCGCCGGAGAAUAACAAGAGGUGUGGGUGAGUAGAGGGAUGACUAGGCCAGCGAUGGGAGUACGGUGGGGCGGUGAGGCCUGCGUGGUAGCAGAUCCGGCCGCAGGAAGGAGGGAGCAGGCAGUCCUGCUGGCGCUUGUUUGAGCGGCUAGAGCAGGAAGAGCAGAGAUUGAAGAAGCACGACGGCCGUUGGAUGGACAUCCAACAGUCACAGCUUGUGCGUCAACCUUUUUUUUACGAAAGCCUCAAAUCUGUGGAAAACAGCAUACAACCCAUCUGCCAUUAUUUCUAAUAAUUUACAGCCCAUUUGCUAAUUCUUAAGAUUUUUUUUGGAGCCCAUAUUCUUUUUGUUAGCAUUACAGCCCAUAUUGUGGCCACGGUUAAAAAAUUAUACGAAUUUUUGCAUAUUUCGGUGCGGUACGAACUGUUUUUAAUCCCGAAAUUUCGACUCACAUUGAAACUGAUUUUAAAAAUAAAUGUAUAUCAAUAUAAAAUCCAACAAAUUCUCCACGCAUAAAAAUUAAUGUAACUUAAAAUCUCAAAAUGAAAAAAAGAUAUUUGAAACUAAUUGUCGGUUUGAUGUGUUUUAAAAAUGUACAACCCAUUUCUCAUUACUGAUAGGCCAUUUUCUCGGCCAGCCGAAAUGAAGCUCUCCUCGUCUUGAAAGAUUUGCAGCCCAACAGGCCUGACAAAGCGACUUACUUGGCAAAUCACAAAAAAAAAA
rnacentral:lncRNA from 1 species